UAGGUCCCAGUUCAGAUUGCAGGCUGCAACCCGCCUGCAUGAAGUCGGAAUUGCUAGUAAUCGCGGAUCAGCAUGCCGCGGUGAAUACGUUCCCGGGCCUUGUACACACCGCCCGUCACACCAUGGGAGCCGGUAAUACCCGAAGUCAGUAGUCCAACCACGUGAGGACGCUGCCGAAGGUAGGAUUGGCGACUGGGGUGAAGUCGUAACAAGGUAUC
rnacentral:rRNA from 1 species